rnacentral:rRNA from 1 species
GAUGAACGCUGGCGGCGUGCCUAAUACAUGCAAGUCGAGCGAACAGACGAGGAGCUUGCUCCUCUGACGUUAGCGGCGGACGGGUGAGUAACACGUGGAUAACCUACCUAUAAGACUGGGAUAACUUCGGGAAACCGGAGCUAAUACCGGAUAAUAUAUUGAACCGCAUGGUUCAAUAGUGAAAGACGGUUUUGCUGUCACUUAUAGAUGGAUCCGCGCCGCAUUAGCUAGUUGGUAAGGUAACGGCUUACCAAGGCAACGAUGCGUAGCCGACCUGAGAGGGUGGUCGGCCACACUGAAACUGAGACACGGACCAGACUCCUACGGGAGGCAGCAGUAGGGGAUCUUCCGCAAUGGGCGAAAGCCUGACGGAGCAACGCCGCGUGAGUGAUGAAGGUCUUCGGAUCUUAAAACUCUGUUAUUAGUGAAGAACAAAUGUGUAAGUAACUAUGCACGUCUGGACGGUACCUAAGCAGAAAGCCACGGCUAAAUACGUG